GUGGAAUUCUCAGAUUUGUUAAAGACUAACUUAUGCGAAAGCAUUUGCCAAGGAUGGUUUCAUUGAUCAAGAACGAAAGU
rnacentral:rRNA from 1 species